AACGCUAGCUACAGGCUUAACACAUGCAAGUCGAGGGGCAGCAUUGGAGUAGCAAUACUUCAGAUGGCGACCGGCGCACGGGUGAGUAACACGUAUCCAACCUGCCGCUUACUCGGGGAUAGCCUUUCGAAAGAAAGAUUAAUACCCGAUGGUAUAAAGAGUUCGCAUGUUCUCUUUAUUAAAGAAUUUCGGUAAGCGAUGGGGAUGCGUUCCAUUAGAUAGUUGGCGGGGUAACGGCCCACCAAGUCUACGAUGGAUAGGGGUUCUGAGAGGAAGGUCCCCCACAUUGGAACUGAGACACGGUCCAAACUCCUACGGGAGGCAGCAGUGAGGAAUAUUGGUCAAUGGGCGAGAGCCUGAACCAGCCAAGUAGCGUGAAGGAUGACUGCCCUAUGGGUUGUAAACUUCUUUUAUAAGGGAAUAAAGUCACCCACGUGUGGGUGUUUGUAUGUACCUUAUGAAUAAGCAUCGGCUAACUCCGUGCCAGCAGCCGCGGUAAUACGGAGGAUGCGAGCGUUAUCCGGAUUUAUUGGGUUUAAAGGGAGCGUAGACGGGUCGUUAAGUCAGCUGUGAAAGUUUGAGGCUCAACCUUAAAAUUGCAGUUGAUACUGGCGUCCUUGAGUACGGUUGAGGCAGGCGGAAUUCGUGGUGUAGCGGUGAAAUGCUUAGAUAUCACGAAGAACUCCGAUUG
rnacentral:rRNA from 1 species